GCCGAUUUGGUCCUAGUCCCAAAAUUAACUAUUCUCAAAUUGCCACAUGCAAGUCAUAAGACAUACCAGUGAAGUCCCUCACCUUACUCCUAAACUGAAAAGAAACAAGAGAAAGGCUUAUUAGCAUCAGGACUGCCAAAGCUCCCGAUGACGCUAAGCGAAACGCCACAACUGCAGUGCUAAGUAUUAGACAAUCGGAAGACCCCGGAUCUAGUUAAGGAACAUAAAGGGGGUAAAAUACGUGCCAGCCACCGCGGUUACACGUAAACCCUACAGUUAACUUUAAGCGGUUUAAAGCAUGGUUAGGAUUAAUGUCUAUCAGCUAAAGCUUCAAGACAGCGGUAGAAAACUUAUCUUGAAUGAACAAACUAAGCUGAAAUAAAAUUUGAUUCCAUGAAAACUAAGGCAUAAACCAGGAUUAGAUACCCUGUUAUACUUAGAAGUAAACUAUUCAUAACACCAGAGAACUACGAACCAAAAAUUUAAAACUCAAAGGACUUGGCGGUUUUCCAAACCUCCCUGGAGGAGCUUGCCAUCGAAUCGAUAACCCACGAAACACCUCACCAACCCUAGUAAUAUCAGCCUGUAUACCAUCGUCGCAAGUCUACCUCCCAAGAAAGUUGACAAAAAGAAACCCAUCAAGACGUCAGAUCAAGGUGCAGCUAACGGGUUGGGGAUCGGUGAGCUACAUUGUCUUCAAAGCCAGUGAACAUAGUGAUGAAACCCGCUAUCAAAACCGGAUUCAGCAGUAAGCCCCAAUAGAGAAUGGGGCUGAAGGAAGCUCUGGAAUGCGUACACAUCGCCCGUCACUCUCAUCCAGCCAACCGGUGAGAUGAGAAAAGUCGUAACAUAGUAGGCGUAUCGGAAGAUGCGCCUGGAAAACAAA
rnacentral:ncRNA from 1 species